GGCCUUUUAAAAUUGAUUGUUUUGAAAACAAGCUAUAAGUGUUUAAAUCACUUGAAGGCUU
rnacentral:tRNA from 1 species